rnacentral:rRNA from 1 species
GGAGAUGGAUUCUUAGACAUGAAUCCAGGCCCUAUGGGGCGCAGCAGGCGCGAAAACUUUACAAUGCGGGAAACCGUGAUAAGGGAACACUGAGUGCUAGCAUUUAUGUUAGCUGUCCACGCGUGUAAAUAGCAUGUGAUAGCAAGGGCUGGGCA